rnacentral:misc_RNA from 1 species
AAGUCGUAACAAGGUUUCCGUAGGUGAACCUGCGGAUGGAUCAUUAACAAAAAGUGCUUCAACGGAAUCAAGGGUGAAUCUUAUCGUCUGGGGAGCGGUCGAGAUUCAUUUUUCUAACUGGGCACUAUAAUCUUUUUAUUAGGCGUCGUCUGGAAACGUUCGGCGCACUUCCCCCUUCUUGGAGUCUGGUAAAAGUUGUAGACUUAUCUACAAAGCAUACCUUUAUCGGUACUCUGGGAAAAACACAAUGUAUUUAUUGUAUUAUACAAUUUGUAUUGUAUAGUGAAUAUAUUUUUUGGUUCUGCUAGCAGAAUCAGCAUUUUUACAUAUUGUUUGAUACAUUCGUAUCAACAAUAACUUUUAUUGUCAUAGCGACUAUAAAUUUCGUUUUGAACUAUCAAUUCAAUACAACUGUUAGCAACGGAUCACUCGGCUCUU